UACGAAGGGGGCUAGCGUUGCUCGGAAUCACUGGGCGUAAAGCGCACGUAGGCGGAUUGUUAAGUCAGGGGUGAAAUCCUGGAGCUCAACUCCAGAACUGCCUUUGAUACUGGCAAUCUCGAGUUCGGGAGAGGUGAGUGGAACUGCGAGUGUAGAGGUGAAAUUCGUAGAUAUUCGCAAGAACACCAGUGGCGAAGGCGGCUCACUGGCCCGAUACUGACGCUGAGGUGCGAAAGCGUGGGGAGUAAACAGG
rnacentral:rRNA from 1 species